GAUGAACGCUGGCGGCGUGCCUAAUACAUGCAAGUCGAGCGAACGGACGAGAAGCUUGCUUCUCUGAUGUUAGCGGCGGACGGGUGAGUAACACGUGGAUAACCUACCUAUAAGACUGGGAUAACUUCGGGAAACCGUAGCUAAUACCGGAUAAUAUUUUGAACCGCAUGGUUCAAAAGUGAAAGACGGUCUUGCUGUCACUUAUAGAUGGAUCCGCGCUGCAUUAGCUAGUUGGUAAGGUAACGGCUUACCAAGGCAACGAUGCAUAGCCGACCUGAGAGGGUGAUCGGCCACACUGGAACUGAGACACGGUCCAGACUCCUACGGGAGGCAGCAGUAGGGAAUCUUCCGCAAUGGGCGAAAGCCUGACGGAGCAACGCCGCGUGAGUGAUGAAGGUCUUCAGAUCGUAAAACUCUGUUAUUAGGGAAGAACAUAUGUGUAAGUAACUGUGCACGUCUUGACGGUACCUAAUCAGAAAGCCACGGCUAACUACGUG
rnacentral:rRNA from 1 species